GAUGAACGCUGGCGGCGUGCCUAAUACAUGCAAGUCGAGCGAACAGACGCGGAGCUUGCUCCUCUGACGUUAGCGGCGGACGGGUGAGUAACACGUGGAUACCCUCCCUAUAAGACUGGGAUCACUUCGGGAAACGGGCGCUAAUCCGGGAUAAUAUAUUGAACCGCAUGGUUCAAUAGUAAAAGUCGGUUUUGCUGGCAGUUAUAGAUGCAUCCGCGCGGCAUUAGCUAGUUGGUAAGGUAAAGGCUUACCACGGCAACGAUGCGUAGCCGACGUGAUGGGGGGGUCGCCCACACGGGAGGUUGGACGCCGACCUGGCUCCUACGGGAGGCAGCAGUAGGGAAUCGUCGGCAAUGGGCGAAAGCCUGACGGAGCAACGCCACGUGAGUUAUGGAGGUCCUCGGAUCGUAAAACUCUGUUAUGAGGUAAGAACAAAUGUGGAAGUAACUAUGGAGGUAUUGACGGUACCGAAUCAAAAAGCCACGGCUAACUACGUG
rnacentral:rRNA from 1 species